rnacentral:rRNA from 1 species
CCCUAAAAGCUUUAUUUUAAAUAUAUUUUAAAAAUUAAUUAUAAAUAGUAAAUUAAAUAUAAAAAUUAACUGGGGUAGUUGUUUCAAAAAAAUUGAAAUUUUUUUACAGUUUUAAAUAAAUGGUUUAAGUUCUUUUAGAUAAGGAAAAUUAGUGUUAGUUACUUUAGGGAUAACAGCGUUAUAUUUUUGGAGAGAUCUUAUCUAUAAAAAUGAUUGCGACCUCGAUGUUGAAUUAAAAUUACUUUAUAAAGUAGAAU